rnacentral:misc_RNA from 1 species
CCUAUACGACUAACUUAAUGUUUGCUGAGUGUUCACACAGAUUGCUCGUUUAUCCUGUCUUAGGACGGGUAGAGCGAAACAUCCCUCUAGCAGGUCGAUGUAGUUCUUUAACAAUUUGGAAAGCUGAUAGUAAUUAAUGGCAUGAGUCUGUCAUGUGAUUAAUUACAAAAAGUUUAAUGCGAAAGCAUUGAACAUUGAGUUCUCAAACACUUUAUUAAGUGUCUUGAAUAUUCAAGUCUAAGGCGCGUCCACUUCUUUGGUCAGAAGUGAGACAAGUAAAACCAAGCUGGUCGCAAUACAAUUCGAGAUGUGUUUUUUCUUAUUUCGAUAAGAUAAGCGCAGCCAAUCGCUUGUUAGGCAAGGCCGUAAGUUGAAUGACGAAUGAGUGUAGCAGCGCUACAUGAUUGAGGAAUGAGACUUGCAACGCCGCAUAACAAGAGGAGUGGCAAGCGAAAAAGAAACCUAUCUGGGUUGUAU